GACAGAGGGUGCAAACGUUUUUUUUUUUUUUGUUUCGGAAUUACUGGGCGUAAAGCGUGCGCAGGCGGCUUUUGCAAGACAGAUGUGAAAUCCCCCGGGCUUUAACCUGGGAACUGCAUUUUGUGACUGCAAGGCUAGAGUACGGCAGAGGGGGGAUGGAAUUCCGCGUGUAGCAGUGAAAUGCGUAGAUAUGCGGAGGAACACCGAUGGCGAAGGCAAUCCCCUGGGCCUGUACUGACGCUCAUGCACGAAAAGCGUGGGGGAGCAAACAGGAU
rnacentral:rRNA from 1 species